AGCAGCCGCGGUAAUUCCAGCUCCAAUAGCGUAUAUUAAAGUUGUUGCAGUUAAAAAGCUCGUAGUUGAAUUUCGGGAUCAAUACGUUGGUCGUGCUUUCGGGUACGUACUGGCGUCAUUGGUUUCUCUCUUCUGACGAACCAUGAUGUCAUUAGUUUGGUGUUAUGGGGAGUUAGGACUGUUACUUUGAAAAAUUAGAGUGUUUAAAGCAGGCAUUAGCUUGAAUACAUUAGCAUGGAAUAAUGAAAUAGGACGUUUGAUCCUAUUUUGUUGGUUUCUAGGAUCGACGUAAUGAUUAAUAGGGAUAGUUGGGGGCAUUAGUAUUCAAUUGUCAGAGGUGAAAUUCUUGGAUUUAUUGAAGACUAACUACUGCGAAAGCAUUUGCCAAGGAUGUUUUCAUUAAUCAAGAACGAAAGUUAGGGGAUCGAAGACGAUCAGAUACCGUCGUAGUCUUAACCAUAAACUAUGCCGACUAGGGAUCGGACGAUGUUAAUUUUUAGUGACUCAUUCGGCGCCUUAA
rnacentral:rRNA from 1 species